rnacentral:rRNA from 1 species
AUACGGAGGGUGCAAGCGUUAUUCGGAAUCACUGGGCGUAAAGGGUGCGUAGGCGGUUUGAUAAGUCUGAUGUGAAAUCCUAUGGCUCAACCAUAGAACUGCAUUGGAAACUGUCAGACUAGAAUACUGAAGGGGCAGAUGGAAUUAGUGGUGUAGGGGUAAAAUCCGUAGAUAUCACUAGGAAUACCGAAAGCGAAAGCGAUCUGCUGGGAAGUUAUUGACGCUGAGGCACGAAAGCGUGGGGAGCAAACGGGAUUAGAUACCCUUGUAGUCC